rnacentral:rRNA from 1 species
AAAGCUCCGGCGCCCAAGGAUGGCUCUGCGGCCUAUCAGGGUUGUAGUGGGUGUAAUGUACCUACUAGCCUACGACGGGUACGGGUUGUGAGAGCAAGAGCCCGGAGAUGGAUUCUGAGACACGAAUCCAGGCCCUACGGGGUGCAGCAGGCGCGAAAACUUUACAAUGCGGGAAACCGUGAUAAGGGAAUCUCGAGUGCCAGCAUAUAAUGUUGGCUGUCCAGAUGCCUAAAAAGCAUCUGUUAGCAAGGGCCGGGCAAGACCGGUGCCAGCCGCCGCGGUAA